CCCGGUCUGAUAAGCAGACAGUCUCAUUGUUGGUUCCCAUUUAUCUCUCAGCUAUGUAAGCGCCGCUCUUCAGCCUUCCAUUUGAGUUUUAUCUCAAGUUCUGAUGUGUCUCUGCAUUCAGCCCUCAUCGCCAAACGGCUAAAAAUAAAAGGUAAUAAUAUGUCUGGUAAAAUUUCCGGUACGGUUAAAUGGUUUAACAAUGAAAAAGGUUUUGGCUUUAUUACGCCAGAAAAUGGCAGCAAGGAUGUUUUCGUGCACUACUCCUCUAUUCAGGGCAGCGAUUUCCGCUCGCUGGAUGAAGGUCAGAAAGUCGAAUUUAAUGUAGAGGAUGGUCCUAAAGGCCCGUCAGCUACCAACGUUACAGGUCUAUAAGUUAUUUCAGCUAUCUAUUUUAUGAGGUGCUCUCACUGUCAGGGCUCUCAAU
rnacentral:sRNA from 1 species